rnacentral:rRNA from 1 species
UACAGAGGCCUCGAGCGUUAAUCGGAAUCACUGGGCUUAAAGGGUGCGUAGGCGGAGCGGUAAGUGCCUUGUGAAAUCCCAUGGCUUAACCAUGGAAUUGCUCGGUAGACUAUCGUUCUUGAGGUAGGUAGGGGUCACUGGAACUCUAGGUGGAGCGGUGAAAUGCGUAGAUAUCUAGAGGAACGCCGAUGGUGAAGACAGGUGACUGGGCCUAUUCUGACGCUGAGGCACGAAAGCGUGGGGAGCAAACGGG